CUUUACUGUAGCCUGUAAUUGAAUCCGGGUUGAGCUUGCGCAGGAUAGGUGGGAGGCGUUGAGAUUGCCCUUGUGGGGGUAAUGGAGCCAACGGUGAGAUACCACUCUGGCGCAGCUAGGAUUCUAACUUGGAGCCGUUAGCCGGCACAAGAACCGUUGCAGGUGGGCAGUUUGACUGGGGCGGUCGCCUCCUAAAUGGUAACGGAGGCGCGCAAAGGUUCCCUCAGCACGCUUGGAAACCGUGCAUAGAGUGUAAAGGCAUAAAGGGAGCUUGACUGCAAGAGUCACAACUCAAGCAGGGACGAAAGUCGGCCUUAGUGAUCCGACGGCACUGCGUGGAAGGGCCGUCGCUCAACGGAUAAAAGUUA
rnacentral:rRNA from 1 species